CAGCAGCCACGGUAACACGUAGGGUGCGAGCGUUAAUCGGAAUUACUGGGCGUAAAGCGUGCGCAGGCGGUUGUGUAAGACAGGAGUGAAAUCCCCGGGCUUAACCCGGGAACUGCGCUUGUGACUGCACAGCUAGAGUAUGGCAGAGGGGGGUGGAAUUCCACGUGUAGCAGUGAAAUGCGUAGAGAUGUGGAGGAACACCGAUGGCGAAGGCAGCCCCCUGGGCCAAUACUGACGCUCAUGCACGAAAGCGUGGGGAGCAAACAGGAUUAGAUACCCCGGUAGUCCCUGUCUCUUAUAC
rnacentral:rRNA from 1 species